ensembl:lncRNA
GAGCAAGAAUUCUAAGACACUACAAAUGAAGUGACCCUCUCUUCCGAUCUCAUUCCAUUUUCUUUUUGAAAACAGUAGUCUAGUGAUUAUAAACAUCAGACUGCUUUCUCCUCAUUUCCUUUUCUUGACAGGCUUUUUGCAGAGGUUGAAGUUUGAAGGUCUAAUUGUAUUUUCACUUCUAACAUAUGAAAAACCUAUGUAUGUAAAGGAAGUUUUAAGAAAAAAAACUGAAAAAACAUGGAAUUCUAAUAAACUAAGAUUGGUUUUCUGAUUAUCAGUACUAAACUGUCCUGGUUUCAAUUGGGACAGAGUUAAUUUCUUCUCAGUACCUGUUGCAGUGCUGUGUUUUGGAUUUGGAAUAAGAAUGAUGUUGAUAGCUCACUGAUGUUAUAGUUUUUUACUGAGUUGUGUUUAUCCUAAGUCCAAGACUAUGUUUUUUGUCUUGUCUCAUGCUCUGCCAGUGAGGAAGUGCACAAAAGAAAGAGAGAAGGAGCACAACUGGGACAGGUGACCUGAACUGGCCAGGAUAUUCCACACCAUAGAAUGUCAUGGCCAGUCCCUUAACUGGGGGAGUUACACAACAGGGAUGAUUUGGGUUUGGGAAGGGGGGUGUACACAUAGUGAGCAGUUGUAUUGUGCAUCACUUGUGAUUUUUUCCUAUUAUUCGUGAUUAUUAUUAUUAUUAUUAUUAUUAUUAUUAUUAUUAUUAUUAUUAUUAUUAUUAUUAUUAUUAUUAUUAUUAUUAUUAUUAUUAUUAUUAUUAUUAUUAUUAUUAUUAUUGCUACUACCUAUUAUUAUUGUAUUUUGUUUUACUUCCAAUUAUUAACUUAUUCUUAUCUCAACAUGCAAGUUCUACUUCAGUUCUCCUCCACACUCCACCAGUGUGGGAAGGGGAAGAGAGGGAGCUAAGCAAGUGGCUGGGUGGUGUUUCAUCUCCAGCUGGGCUUAAAACCACAACACAAACCCCAGGAAAAAAAUCUAAGUGAGCAGCAAUUCUUCCUGUUCUAUACAGAACUUGAGGCCUUGUGCACAUCAGUGAAAUGUUCUCGAGAAACUCAAAAUUAGGAAGCUCUGUUGCUACGUAAUGUCUGUUUUUAAGACUCUUGAAAAAUUCUCUGAAGGGAUUUAAGGAAAGAGUCUGUGUUAGCUGGAAUGAAUGUGCUUAAAGCAGCUUUUCUGCAGACUUGGAGGGUGCCAAGGAAACAAAAGCAAUUAUAGCUAAGUUCCAUGGGAGAAGAAAGAGGGUGAUAUGUGGAUUUUAUGCUGUGAGAUGCUGGAUGCUGGUUUGUGCCUGGUCUUGAAAGGUAAAGGUAAAAAUCAAGUUAGGAGGAAGAGAAACUGAAAAGCAAAACUUUAUUUGCUUACUCAGAGAUAAAAUCUUCACCUUUUCACUUCUGCAUCUUUGACUAAAUCUCUUGCUGUACUAGGACAGAACUAAUAGUACCAAGUGGUGCCCAGGCUGGUGAGAGCUUGGGACAUGCUCUGCUGAGAGCUGGAACUGAGGUGAUGAGGGAAGUGUGUACUCCACUUGAGGCAGGUGUCUGCUGCAGGAGGUAAGGGGAAUUGACUACAGGAGUGAUGCUGACACGUAGAGUAAAAGAUCAUAAACCUCAUGUGGAUGCUGUCAUUCAGAGGUAAGGUAGCUCUUUUUGCUGGAGUCCGAUUUUCCAAAAGGUUAAAGCCUGUUUCAACUCUGACUGAGAGGCUUAAAUCUGAGUGACUGUGAGCAGACAAGCUCUUAGUUCUGAGUAACUAACUGUGGCCUUGGGCCAGUCAUCCUCGAAAUGUAUCUCACAAAGAAACUGUUUGGCUUUCGGGGGAGCAAAAUAAAUCAGAAAUAACAGUUCUCAAAAGUUCUGACUUUGGCUAGUAUAAUAACUUACCAGGCAGAGCUGAUAUAAAUAUGUGUCUCAGUCCUAAAAUACUGUUCUUCAUAUGCUCCAGUGCUCCCUGGCAUAAGGACAGUAUUGUAUGAAGAAUUAAAUGGGCAAGCUCUAAACAGCUACAGGAAUUGUUAUAAUGGCAUCAGUGUAGAAGGAGUUUAUUGUUAGAGUUGAAUAGUGGAGCUUGCUUCCUGGGCACUAACCUUUCUCCCUAUUAAUUCUUUGACAUGGAAGGAAUUAAUAAGAUUCCCAGAGAAUAGCUUCUGUACAUGGCUUGAGGAACUUAAUUAGUAUAAAAGAAACAGUAUUAUUCCUAAAGCUACUUCAUUACUGUUGGCUUUACAAUAGGACUUUUGCCUAAAAUGUCCCUGUCUCCUGAUCCAUUUCCUGCUAUAAACUCUGCAAGACAAUAGACAUUUCACAGAAGAUAUAUAGCC